rnacentral:lncRNA from 1 species
CACUUGCACUGCGGGUGCUCUCUGGCCCCCACCCCAUCAUCGCGCAACACACCCCCUUCAACAUGCGCGGCCACCCUUUCAUUGCCCUGCGCCCCGAGCGGUCCCACCGCCCGGCAAAACACUGAGCAAGCCGCUGCUCUCACCUUGCUUGACACACUUGAGCCGGAGGGGGUCCUUGCAGUGUUUGAUCACGGCCAGCACGUCCCUGAUGGUGAGCCCCGCCACGGGGGUCUCGUUCACCUCCAGCAGCAGCUCCUCCGACACCAAUUUGCUGCCGCUCUCAUAGGCCACCUUGCCGGGCUUCACCUCCCCCAGCAGAGGAAGCAGUGGUGGUGGCGUCGGCGGCGGCGGCGGCGGCAGCCGGAGCGAGCAGUAGCCGAGCUGGUGAGCGGGUGUGGUGGGGGUGGGGAAGGAGGGUAGGGAUGCCGGGGGCCACUCCUGCGUGGUGCGAGUGGGAACGCGCGCGCGCGCCUGGGUGUGUGUUGUUAGCUGAUAUCCAUGGCAGCUGCAGUGGCAGGUGUUCCCUUCUUUUCGCCAGGUUUGCAUCCAAGAGAGGGGAGGACAGGGGCAAAAGGAUGCAGGGAGGCUGCUGAUUUCCACUGAAGAGCUAAUUUCCUGUGAGACAUUAACAGUGAUUUAAGAAAAAGAUUCCUGUAACUGGUAAAUGAAUUUCAUUUGCUUAACUUUUAGAUGAUAUGUUUCAGGCAAAAAAAAAGUUGUGCACCCACUUAUCUCUUUAAAGCGGAGGAUGAAAAGCAUUGAAUAGGUAGGAUUCUUAAUGUCUGAGAUGAAGGCGAUGUAGGAGGCAAACAAUACGGUUAAAAAUGUUGAGUCGACCCAAACAGAAAGACCAGGUUUCAAUCCAGACUCUGCGGCUUACUGAGAAUAUGAUCUUGAGUAAACUGCUUGACCUUCCUGAGCCUCAGCUUUCUUAGUUGUUAAAUGGACUUUAACAAUACUAAUCUGUUAGGACUGUGGUGAGGAUGAAAUCAGGGAAAUCAGUCACAGCAGUGCUCUCCUGGCACAGUAAUGUCUUACAAUAACAGAAUGCAGGAGAGCACAUAUCAAUGAAGAAAAGACAAAAUGUACUUAUCCAUGAAGCUGAGGUUAAGAAACCAGUGUCUUCAAGAGCCAGGGACAGCACUGGGUCUGUGCAGAGUUGAGAGAUGGUGAUGACAUGUGGUUUCCAGCAUUCCUCACCCAGUCCAGGGACACUGUGGGUGUGCCCAGCUUAAGUCCAGUAACUGGAAAUACAAGCCCAAGUUCUGGAGAGUUUGAGCUGCAGAGAUAUAUAUGGGAACACUUUGAAUCUUGACUCAUUGGCCAUAACCAGCAGAGUGGAAAAUACAAGAAGAGAAAAAAACAUUGAACUGCGAUUUUAUAACAUCCUUUACUAGGCAGAGAGAAGAGGAAACACCAGGAAAGAAAACUGUAUUACGAUGUGAAAACUUAAUGUUGAGAAAUUCAGGCAUCUUGGGGUUAGUGAGGAGAAGUUUUAGGGGCUUAGAUUCUUCUAAACACAUGUACAGAAAUGCAUAUUUCAUCUGAUAUCAAAUGGCAUUUAUAGUGCUAAUCUUUACCUCAAGACUUCACAUCUUUUGGUGAUUGCAUCUUUUAGGUUUAUAGCAGCUAAGUUUGCAUGAAAACACCAGGGCUGUUUCAUUUCAGUCAAGAAUUAAUGUUCAUUGAUUGUGCUUCUGCAUUUCAUGUAACUAUUGUAGAAUUUGUUUUAGUUUUAUGAGGGAAUAAUUGUUCCAACUUCUAUAUAACUCAGGAAUUUACUCUCAAACAACACUGUCAAUUAGUUACUUAUCUCUCUGGAAAUGAUCUGGGAACAUGGAGAGGAAAGGGAGGAAGGGGCAAAAUCUGACCACUUAAAUCUAAGCAUAUUAGAUCAUUUUAUGCUAGAAAGUCCUGAAUGAUGUGACUUUCGUUCUUGUAAAACACCUCUUUCCAUAGAUUCAUGGCCCAAACAGUAUAUAAAGAGUGGGGAAGGAACUGCAUUUGCAAAUAGUUCAAAUCAUUGCUCCAUCUUAACUACGCAGUUCACAAAGUGUGAAGAAAUGUGAUCAUCUCAAAAAAGAUAAUGGGGAAAAAAUAUGUUUUGUUCUGUGACUUUAAAGUCUUGCAAUAUUUUACAUAAAUGAUAAUGGGUGCUUUAAUAAGAACUCUUGAUACUUUUGUUAUUGUAUUCAAUAUAUGCAUAUAAUACAACAGGAUGAUAUUGUUUUGGAUUUGGAAAUGUAUUCUUUCUUAUGCAAUCUUAUGCAGUCAUACUGCUUGAAUAUCAUUACCUGAAUUUAUCUUUCUUUUUUUUGUUGUUGUUUUACACUCUACUUAUUUGGUGCCUGUCAGUCUUUUGUCGUCAGUUUAUAUUCUACUAAACUCAAAAAGACAAUCUCAUACCUUUUGUAAUUGUAGGCAUUCUUUACUAGAUUUUUAAAUACACUUCAAAAAUUCAAGUACUUUGAUUUCAUGCCAUCAAGUAGCUGAAUCUAUCCCCCCGUCUCUUUUUAAAUUUAAGUGAGUAGUUCAAUUUCUGUCACUUUCUACUUUGUGAAUUCUAAAUCUUUUAAAACCAUCUUGCCAUUUUUCGUGCACUUACCCUUACAGAAAACUCUGUGAAACACUACUUAUCUCUACUUUUAUGUUUUUAACUCCUUUUUUAUAUUACUAUUCCCUCUGCUUUCUAAAUGCACAUAUUAAUUUGUUCUUUUUAUUCUCUGUAGCUCUUCUCAGUGUAUGAAUUCAGUUUCCCAUCAGUCUCCAUACAAUUAAAAAAAAGUUGAGUAUUCUGUUAUUUUAAUAAGAUAUCUAGUGCCCAUAUUCUAAUUCUGCCCCUUAUUUUUAAUAUAAUUUUAUUGUUGAUUUAAAAUGACAACAGUUUCAAUUCCCAGAAAGUGAAAGGAAACAAAGGAAUAAUAUUAUAGGCUUAAUUUUUAUCAGUGAACUUGUAGGUGAAGAAAAGAUUUGGGGAAGGAAAUGAACAUAUUAUAUUGCAAAAUAGUAAGGAACAAUCAGAUGUGUUUUCUAGUCUCUGGAAAAGCAUGUUUCAAGAAAUUCAAUGAAAAGUUCAUCAUGCUUGCUUAGAUUGUUGAGAAGCAAAAACACUGAUGAACAUUUGGAAGCAAUGAGAAUGUAAUUCUAAUCAUACUCUUUUAAUAAUGUUGCAAAACUCUCCAAACACUACUCUGUGUGGAUGUCUUUCAGAAUAUGAUGAAUACUAGUAGUCUUAUUCUGCCCUUUUCUCUCUAUCACAAUAUAUACAUUCUAUAUUGCAUACACAUAUUUUCCAAAUAUUACAUAUAAUUUCAUGUAAUUUAUAGACCUAUUAAGGCCCAACCAUUUUCUUGGAUAGGGGAUUCUUUAGAAGUCCAGCUUAAAUAAAGCCCGUAUAGAAAGUUUUUUUAAAAUUUAUACAUAAUCACCUAAAGUAACCUUAUCUACUGAACUCUUAGUACAUGCUACUGGAACCUUUUAUCAUGUUUCUUCCUGGCUUGCAUUACAACACUGUUGACAUAUCUCAGCCUUACUUCUAGGCUUCUUUGAGAGCAUGACUCAUGUUUGUAUUCCUCACUGAGGUUGAAUGAAUAAGAGAAACUACAGUAGUAGGAAAAAACAGUACAUGUACAUAUCAAUGAAUAUGAAAGGGUCAAAUGGAUCUAUUAUAGUAAGCACAAAAUCAACUGACACCAGCAAAGUAAACCCAAAAUUUUUAAUGGUAUUUUAAUAGAUCAAGAGGAGCAAGCAGAUUUUUGAGACAGUUGUCUCCUACUUUCUCUAUCACAGGGAGUAAUUUUAAAAGAAAAAUGGAGGGUAAGUUUCUUUAAGAGAAAAUUGUAGUUUAAAACAGGUCAUGGGAUAAUUAGAAAUAAUUUAAUUUCUUUAGAGGAUUUUAAUCUUUCAACUGCUUGCAAUUAGAUCCUAAGGCAAUAAAAGAAUAAGGAGAUUUGGAAAACCAUUGUCUGUAAUCUCUGAAGAAAAGUGGACAUUAGGGGAGUCAGUUGAAAAGCAAAGCUAUCACCAUUUUCUAAAGAGGAAAAAGGUGAACCUCACAAACUAUAGACCAAAAAAAUAGGACAUCGAGAGAAAGAAUAUGAAGCUAGCAUAGGUUCACAAAGAAUGAGUCAAAUCAAACAACAUGCAUUUUUUAUUUAUAAAGCAUGACUUGUUCAUUGUCAAUUCAUGUUAGCUUAAUCAUUAGGCAUUAAUGCCAUCACUGCAAUGCAUAUGUCAGCAAUAAAUAAUCAAAGACCAGGCUUCCAUCAUUCUGUUUAAUAUCUUCAAGUAAUGCUUAAGUUUGCAAAUGCUCUUUUAACACAUUCUCCAUAUGCAGCCUGCCCAGCACUGCACACAAUAGACCUGUUACUUCCCCCUCACGAGCACUCCUAAUAUUUCAUGUGCUCAUCCAAUUGACUUCUCCCACUGGUGCCUCAUAUUGAAUUUGUAGAAUCACACCUGCUCCUUUUUCAAAACUCUUCUGAGUUUUUUCUUAAAUAAUUCACUGACCCCAAAGUUGUCAGAUAUUUGAAGACUACUCGCACAAUUUUAAUAUUAUAAAUGUAUAAUGUAAAUGUAAUUAAGAUUUGUAUAAUGUACGAUGUACUUUGGUAAAUAAAAGUAUGCUGUGAAUAAAUACGUAUGAUACAAUUCAAAAUUUUACAUAAAUAUGUGAUAAAAUUUAGCUCAUAUUCUUUUUUUUUUUCUUUGAGACGGAGUCUCACUCUGUUGCACCCAGGCUAGAGUGCAGCAGCAUGAUCUCAGCUCACUGCAACCUCUACCUCCUGGGUUCAAACAAUUCUCCUGCCUCAGCCUCCUGAGUAGCUGGGAUUACAGGUGCCCGCCACCAUGCCCAGCUAAUUUUUUUCUAUUUUUGUUGUUGUUGUUGUUUUUAGUAGAGACGGGGUUUCACCAUGUUGGUCAGGCUGGUCUUGAACUCCUGACCUCAGAUAAUCCACCUGCCUCGGCCUCCCAAAGUUCUGGGAUUACAGACGUGAACCACGGUGCCCGGCCUAGUUCAUGUUCUUUAAGGACAAUUAUGAAUAUUUUUAUGCACUGUUAAUUUUCAUUAAGAUAUUGAUCAAUUAAUAGCUAUAUAUGUUCUAUAAAUUAAUCCUAUCUAGUUUCAAUCUUAAAUUGUUUGCAUAUACCAAUCUAGUUUAUUGUUUGCAUAUAUUUUAUAGUGUAGAGAUUAGGCAUUUUAAUAAAAUUUUAAAAUUUCCAGGACAUACUGUUAAUGACUAUGCUUCCUACUAUAGGCCAUAAUUAAUUUUUUUCUAUUGUCAACAAUAUUUUGGUAGGGAUGAUCAGGAAAUAAGGAAAUGUUUCCUUCAUUUGUUAACAAUAGGUGUUUGGGGAUUUUAAAAUGAAAAUUGAAGAAGUAAAAGACACCAUAUAUUUAGUUUGUUUGAUUUCGUGGCUUCAAGAGUUCAAUAAUUUAUUGAAAUAUUUUACAGACCAAAGAACAACAGAUAUAUUACGUUUAUAAGCCCCCACAUAUUUUAAAGGAUAAUGGUUUAUAUAUGAAAAUUCCCUGAACCUACACUUCAUCAGGAAAAGCUAAAUAAAAGAAGUUUACAUUUCCUAGGACUAAUGGAGAUUUAUUUCCCAGUCCUCUUCUCUGGAGACAAAUGUAGGUCUCUCUUGAAAAGCAGAAAGUUUUGCAUAUGAGGUAUGAUUUAGUGGGCUAGAAACAUCUUUUCCACCCUCCCCAAAAUGUUUCACUAUGUUUUAUCAUACUAUCUGAUAAUUUUGCACUAAAGUUUUCUUUCUGUGUUAAGAAAAUGCAAAUAUCUCUGAAUGGGUCUCUUUGCUUUAGUCAUACUCAUAUGGCUACUACUGAACAAAAUAUGUUCAUUACAGGAUGAAGGGAAUGUUGCCAGCCAGCAAAUCCCUAGAGUUUGCACUACACCAAACGUUGCUUAGCAAUUUCCACGAUUUUCUCAGUCUAAUUUGCAAGAAUCAAGGAGAUGUUUGUGUAUGCUACAUGAAGUUGUAAAAUUGGUAUUUAUUGUAUGUUUCUAUAUCGAAAGCUUUACAAACAAAGGAAAUGGAAAGUUAACAGGUGGAUAUGAUAGUGUGGCACUACUUUAGCUGGAUGGUAAGGGAGAGCUUCUCUUAGGAAGUGUUUUAGGCCAGGACUUGAAUAAUGAACAGUAUCUAGUUGUACAAAAAUCUGGAGGAAAGACUUUUCAGGCCCAGGAGAAAUGAAAAUUCUUUUCAUGCAUACAAGAAUGAAAGUGAAAAUUACCUACUCUAUGUCCUGAAGUGGGAAGUUGGCUUGCCAGAGAGUAGGUAAUUUUCACUUUGAUUCUUUCAUGCCUUCAGUUAUACUACUUCUUAGGUUAGUUCAUAAGGGUUUCCACAAUUUGGUUCCCACUUAAAAUUUAAAACUUCCCUAACCCAUUCCCACCAUAUAUUGUGCUAAUCCAUGCAUAUGUGACUUUGCGUAUGCUGUUUUCAUUGUUUAAUAUUCUUCUCAUGCAUUCGUUCUUUCCUGAUAACGAACUCAUCUUUGAAACUCCCCUUCAAGCAUCCUCUACUUUAGGAGGCCGCUUCUCACUGUCUCCUGCCUACCACCCAUUGAAUUGUUCAAUUUUUAAGCUGCCAUUGUCUUGUGCAGUUGACACAUUUCUUUGCAAUUACUGAUUUACAUGUCUGCUUUUAUCACUGGUGAGGUUCUUUAGGACAGAGACAUUAUUAAUUCAUCUCUGGGCACAUAUGUUCCAACAUAUUAGAAGUACUACAGAGUGCUAUUACUAUGUAGUAUGUAGUAUUAGUAGUAGUUACUCACAAAUCAUUUUUAAAUAAGUGAUUAUAAUAUCUUUUUGUUAUUAUGAUUUAACACAAGAUGGAAUUUAUUUUCAGAAGUUUCCAUGAUAUAUUUGUUCUAUUUAAAAUCCAAUAGCCAUUAGAAUAUUACCAUUAUUUAAUGUAAAACAAUAAAAUAUUAAAUAUGAUCGUUCAUAUUUAAUGCAAACCGAACUCAUGGAAAUAUUGUGUAAAGAUCAAGUAAUUUUUGACAUACAAUUUUAAACUCAACUUUUCAUAUAGCAUACCUUAUGAUAUAUUUUCAGCCUACUUUUAAAUAUGUUGGCAUUGAAAGCCAGUUACUAAUUCGCUGAAUUCAUGAUUUCUUUUUAAGUUAUAGAAGUGGAAUUAUGUUUGAGAUAUUCAUUGCAUUACAUUUACCAGAACUUGAGUUCUUAACAUGGAACCUGAGAGUUUCUCCAAUUCUUAAGUCCCUGGGAGAAAUAGAUUAGCUGGAUGAGGAACUGAGAGGAAAAAUGGUCAGAGAUGUAGCAAGAGUUGGGAAGAAGGAACAAUGAUUUGCUUUCAAGGAGAUUUUUUCAUUGGUCUGUUUUCAGUGACAAACCCACUGCGAUAAUACAUGUAAAGUGAAAACAUUCAGGAAGUUCCCUUAGAAACCUCUUUUCUGGCAGUUCCUAAUUCUACAACAUUGUAUAAGUGAAAUACCAUAGUUACUGUCAUAGUAAAUUGAGCCAAGAGAAACAAGGGAGCAGGAGAAGAAAAGAAUUAAAGAGAGUUUUGUCUUUCAGUCUUCACUCUGUUUCUUCUUGCUUUUACCAGUCAUUCAGGUUUAUAUAAUUUCUUUAGAGAGGCUUCUACUAUGCAGGUCUUCCUUAAAGUCAUUGGUAUUACCUGGCAUGAUAUGUGAGCCUUUAAUAUCAGUCCCUUUAUCUCUUUAUUUUUAAAGUUUAUAUCAGUACAGAGUCCUGGAUUCUUAAUUAAUUUAAUAGGUUAGACUUUAUGCUAAUAUUCUUCAUUUUGAUGCUCAAAUUUUCCAAAAUUUGGCCAGCAGGGUUCCUUAAAGCUGGGUACCUUGCCCUUUCAACAUGUCCCUCUGAUUCUUUAUUUUUAUUUACUUAUUUAUUUAUUUAUUUAUUUAUUUAUUUAUUUAUUUAUUUAGAGACUGAGUCUUGCUCUGUCUCCCAGCCUGGAGUGCAAUGGCACAAUCUUGGCUCACUGCAACCUCUAUCUCCCAGGUUCAAGCAAUUCUCCUCCCUCAGCCUCCCGAGCAACUGGGACUACAGGCAUGUGCAACCAUGCCUGGCUAAUUUUUUUUGUAUUUUUAGUAGAGACAGGCUUUCACCAUGUUGGUCAGGCUGGCCUCGAUCUCCUGACCUCAAAUGAUCCAUCGCCUCGGCCUCCCAAAGUGCUGGGAUUACAGGCGUGAGCUGCCACACCCAGCCGUCCCUCUCAUUCUUUAAGUACUUCCAUGUUUUCUAAGGUACAAGAUGUUCCAUAUUAUUUUGUUAUUUGUCUUCCCCAGCUCUGAAAUCUGCCUUUCCUUCAAGGAGCCUUGGUUCUUUCUAGUGACAAAUUAUAUUUAGAAAGAAGAUCUGGGUAUUUGACUUGUAUAUUGCUAUUAAUUGGCCAUUGUUUCUAGUCUCUUUCAGUAGACAGAGCUAAGAAAUGUAAAAGGAAAUAUUUGAAUGUAUGUAUAUGUGAUAUAUUAAGUACAUUUAAACAUAUUAAAUUCAUGAGUUCAUACUAAUACUUUCAAUAAGCCACAAUUCCCUUUUCAUGUUUUCGAAGGAAAAAUAUCCAUUGUCUAUAUACAGUGGACAUAGAUAGUAAUAAUACUGAUCUUGAAAAGAGCAGUCUUAAAUAGAUCCCAUUAAUAGUUAAAGAUAACAUAUCUUAGAAUUCUAGAUAUUAGAGAGAUUAUCUAGAGCUGUAAUCUAGAUAUUUUAUAGAUCUUUGCUGUGCUGUUUUGAAUUUGUGUUGGAGUAGAACAAUCAGAUGACAAAAGCUCAUCCCACAUGGAAAAAUCAAAGCAUUCAUUACAGAGAGAAUUUUGAAAUAAAUGCAUAUAUAAAAAAUAUAUAUGCAUAUAUAAUGCAUAUGUAUAUGCAUAUAAAAUAUAUAUAUAUAAAAUGAGGGUUAUAAACAAUGAAGGAAAUAGUGAUACUAUCUAUGUGGGAACAAUACUAGUAUCCUCCCUUUGGAUGAAUACAGUAGCUACAGAUGCAAUUCUGGGGACUCUGUUUAGCAAUAGCUUAACUAUUGCUUGGCUACAAGCAUGGAUAACUUGUUCAAAGAUAAUGAGGAGUUGUAAAUAUUUAAAUAAACAGGAUUUGCAACAUAAAAAGCUUUGUGACUAUGUGUCUGAAUUCUUAGAGUUUUCUCCCAGCAAGACCUUGGAUGUGGCAGACUUUUCUGUAAUUGUCCAUCUCGCCCCUAUUUCAUGAAAAGCCAGAGCUUCUCUACUUAGUUUGCUAACCCCAAAUAUAUAAAUUCAAUAGAAGUACUAGCCUGUUUUUACUGGUUUAUUUGCUUUAUCUAAAAAAAACAAGGCAUAGUUUAAAGUCUGUUUUUGAUAGCAUAACAAAACAAAGGUUCUCAUUUUAAUAAUGCAUCACAUAUACACUUGGUAACUAUUGCAUAGUAAUAAUUUAAUAACUUGAGAAAUAUAUUUAUGCAUGUAUGUGUAUAUGUUCAUAUAUAUGUUAUUUUUAAUUCAGAAGUAAAACAAAUAUUGGAAGAGGCCACAGUUAUUAUAAAAAUAAUUUGACCAGUAUUGGACAAUGCAAAUAGCAAUCAUUUAGAAGUUUCU